rnacentral:lncRNA from 1 species
GACGUUGGAGGAAACACCAGAGCCUAUACAGGGAUGGUUGAUUGUGAGAAAAGGGGGAGACGCCAUCUGCCCAUUCAGGAAUGUGCGGUGAGACUCUCUCCUUGGGCUCUGCACACCACCGUGAACAUUUUGUCAGCACGGGUGACUCACAGCUUACACGGAAAACAGUAGCCUGUCCCUAGCAACCACACAUCGUCUUUUUCCCAGACAUUUCCAAUUUCUCUGCACUCCUAUGGAGACUGUUUUCUUCUUGCUUCACUCUUUCUGUGACAUAAGACAGAAAUUUUCACAGCUCUUCCACACCAUGGGUGUAUAUGGACUGAACCAGCAUAACAGCAAAUAAACGGUGGUGGACCCAGGUACUGGAAAUAGCCAGACCAUUUGCAGGUGAAUGAGAAUAAACGGGAGACAGUGGAGCCUUUUCCAGCCAGUGUUCUUUAACAAUG